AAGAAGUGUAGCAUUCCGUUUUUGUGAAUUACUCUGAUUAAAUAAAUGAAAUUUUCACGUUGGGAAAACGGGGUGUUACAUUUUA
rfam:Medicago truncatula strain A17 chromosome 3, whole genome shotgun sequence.